rnacentral:rRNA from 1 species
CGUGAAAACGCCCUUAAAUUUCCCAUUAGGAACAAGGAGCUGGUUUUUGGGCACAAAAUUACUGCCCAAAACACCUAGCUACGCCACACCCACAAGGGAAUUCAAGCAGUGAUUAACAUUGAAUAUUAGCGACAGCUUGAUUCAGUUAAAGUAAAUAGAGCCGGCCAAUCUGGUGCCAGCCGCCGCGGUUACACCACGUGGCUCAAAUUGAUUUUUACCGGCGUAAAGCGUGAUUAAAGUUAAACCCCAUUGAAGUCAAAUUUAAAUUAAGCCGUGACACGCUUGUUCUUUAGAAGCACAAAAACGAAAGUUACUUCAACUUAAUCAACUUGAAUACACCGACAGCUUGAACACAAACUGGGAUUAGAUACCCCACUAUGUCCAGCCGGUAAACCUUAAAUUACUCCUCACACCGCCGGGGAACUACGAGCUAAGCUUAAAACCCAAAGGACUUGACGGUACCCCAUGUCCCUCUAGAGGAGCCUGUCCUAUAAUCGGAUAACCCCCGUUUAACCUCACCAUUUUUGGCUAAUCAGUUUGUAUACCUCCGUCGCCAGCUUACCUCGUGAGCGAAACUUAGUGAGCUUAAUGCCCAUACGCCCAUACCGUCAGGUCAAGGUGCAGC